AAUACACAAAAAAAGGGAGAGGGAGAAACAUGAAGACCAGAGGCAAAAAGGAAAGGAGAGACAAGAGGGAAGUGAGAAUUCAGGAAAAGAAGAGAAGGAGAAGAUGGAGAAGAAGGAGGAUGAGAAAGUCAAAGAGCCACAGACGAGAGACGAAAGGAACACAGAUAUGAUGCGGAAAAUUGAGGAGGAGACCUCCCAGCUGUGGAAGUCCAUGGGACUAUCCUUUGAAGACACUGAGGAUGGAUCAGAAGAAGACUGGAAGGAAAGUGAGGAGGCCAGUGUAGACCUAGACUUGCUCUUCCUGAAGGACAAUGGAAAUACCGAAAUAGAUAGAGGAAAAGAAAGGAGAUUGGAAGAGGAGAACAAAUCAAGACAGCUAGAAGUGGAGAGACAGAGAGAAAUGAAAACUGUGAGACUGAAAGAAGAGGAGAGCAAGAGGAAAGCCAUGAUGGAAAAACUGAAAGAGGAUGAAGGGAGGACGAGAGGGAUGGAAGCAGAAAUGGAGAGAAAGGAACAGGAGGAGAGGCUAAGUGAAAAGGAAAGGGCCAACCUAAGAGAAGAGGAGAGAAAGAAAAAAGAGAUGCAAGAGAAGACAAGGAGAGAGCUGGAGCAGAUAACACAAAGAGAGAGGGAGGAGAAGGGGAAGAAAGCCAAAGUGGCCAAGAAAUUAAUCCAGGCACGUGACAGCGAUGACAUUGACGU
ensembl:lncRNA